UACGAAGGGGGCUAGCGUUGUUCGGAAUCACUGGGCGUAAAGGGUGCGCAGGCGGGUUCAUAAGUCGGGGGUGAAAGCCCGAGGCUCAACCUCGGAACUGCAUUUGAUACUGUGGGUCUUGAGUACGGAAGAGGUGAGUGGAACUGCGAGUGUAGAGGUGAAAUUCGUAGAUAUUGGCAAGAACACCGGUGGCGAAGGCGGCUCCCUGGUCCGGAACUGACGCUGAGGCACGACAGCGUGGGGAGCAAACAGG
rnacentral:rRNA from 1 species